CUACGGGCGGCAGCAGUGAGGAAUAUUGCACAAUGGGGGGAACCCUGAUGCAGCAACGCCGCGUGGAGGAUGACGCAUUUCGGUGCGUAAACUCCUUUUAUAUGUCAAGAAAAUGACGGUAGCAUAUGAAUAAGCACCGGCUAACUCCGUGCCAGCAGCCGCGGUAAUACGGAGGGUGCAAGCGUUACUCGGAAUCACUGGGCGUAAAGGACGCGUAGGCGGGUUGGAAAGUCAGGUGUGAAAUCCUACAGCUUAACUGUAGAACUGCACUUGAAACUUCUAAUCUAGAGGAUGGGAGGGGGAGAUGGAAUUAGUGGUGUAGGGGUAAAAUCCGUAGAUAUCACUAGGAAUACCUAAAGCGAAGGCGAUCUCCUGGAACAUUACUGACGCUAAGGCGUGAAAGCGUGGGGAGCAAACAGGAUUAGAUACCCGGGUAGUC
rnacentral:rRNA from 1 species